AGAAACAACGGCUUGCGGUACUGGUGCAACAGUUUUAAAGAGGAAAUAGAAAUUCUACGAAUUGAUGAAGUUCAUUGAGCCAAAUGAACAAUAUGAAAAGUUGAACUUGGAGCAGGAAUCUCCAUCAAUAAAAAAGUAUACCAGGGGAUAUGCGAGUUAGAUCAUGUAAGAAAAUUCACGAAGAGUUUGGCAGUUGCGAUUUGGGGGAGUGACGUCCUUGCUGGGAGGUCUGUUUAGGGGAAAGCCUGCCGAAACAGGAAUGGACCCAAGAAAGUGGAUCCGGAGUCUAUACCUUCCACCCCUACACAUUCCAACCAGCAACAGGCAAAGCCUCCCCUCACACCAGAAAAAUUGGCUGUAAUUUCAGGACGAAUGAGAGAAUAUCUCGUAAAAAGAAAAAGAGACUGUUCAGAAAUGGAAGAAGAAUUUUAAAAAAAAAAAGAUAUCUGUCCGAUAAAAUCCAAGACAUAUGUGGUAGACAAAUUUUCCAAUAAAAUGUACUUUGCCCAUAUUGUUUGUAAUUGGUUACUUUUUAUAGUUAUUAUGGAGAAGACAAAAGGCUGAAACAGAUAAUAGAUGGCAAUCUUAUAUUUGCCAAACAAUUGAGAAAUGUCAGUUAAAAUUUAGUUUUGUAAUAUUGUGUUGCAUAAUUAUGUCAAUGAAGGAAGGAAUACAAUUAAAAUUAACAAUGGUGUAAUUUUAUUUUAAUUCAUUAUAUUUAG